rnacentral:rRNA from 1 species
CAGUCGCCGCGGGAAUACGUAGGGUGCAAGCGUUAAUCGGAAUUACUGGGCGUAAAGCGUGCGUAGGCGGUUCGUUAAGUCUGUUGCGAAAGCCCCGGGCUCAACCUGGGAAUGGCAAUGGAUACUGGCGAGCUAGAGUGUGUCAGAGGAUGGUGGAAUUCCCGGUGUAGCGGUGAAAUGCGUAGAGAUCGGGAGGAACAUCAGUGGCGAAGGCGGCCAUCUGGGACAACACUGACGCUGAGGCACGAAAGCGUGGGGAGCAAACAGGAUUAGAUACCCCCGUAGUCCCUGUCUCUUAUAC